AUGGUUGGGGGCAACGGGGCCGGUGUGCAUGGCUCGGUUGCUCGCCAGAUCUGGCGGCCGGCCAGCACGCGCGAGGGCGGCUGGCUGGGGCGCCUGUGCCGGAGGCGCGGUAGGCAGUCUUGUGGUGGUGCUUUUCUUUUGCCGGUGGUCGCGGAUGUGGAAGUGUCGAAACUGCCUCCGGUGAAAGCCCCCACAUUUUUCUCUUCUGUGAGCUCAUCUCUGUACCAUAGCCAUGCAUCUCUGUACAAAUCAGUAUGGCAAAUUAGCUGCGAUCUUCGGAUCGGCUCUCUCCUUCUCUAUAGGAUUAUUAGCUCAAAUGGCAAUUUAGCUGAGACCUUUCUUUCUAUUAUGCACCUCUCAUCUUUUGUUCAUUUUCGAUUGGUGACGCAUAAUACAUGGCACCUCGCAUCCUCCUUUUGUUGGCUUCUUGAUCUUGCAACGCAUGAGCAAGGUGGGACUAUUAAUUGA
rnacentral:rRNA from 1 species